rnacentral:lncRNA from 1 species
ACAUAGGCUUGAACAAAGAAGCAAUCAUUUCUACUUUUGGUGAUUGAAUACAAACUCCAACAUAAAAUACAUGACAUGAUAAAGCAACAAACUUUAUAGGUGACAUCGUACGAAAAUUGCUAGUCCAGACGCAAUAGUGUAAUAUAACAGAAUAUAAUAGGAUUUAAAAAAGUUCAAUUUCCAUAUCAACUAAGUUGCUGAAACAAAAUUUAAAAUCAAUUCAGUUACAAUUCAUCUAGUAGGAUAAUCAUCAAUUAAGUUGCAUUUCAACAAAAAUUAGACUGCAACCUGUAAGUGAAGAAAAAGAAGAAUCUUACUACUAUAAGGCCAGUUUUCUUGUCGAGCUCAUACUUAACCUUGUUGCGUUUGCCAAUUUCAACAAACUGAUAUAGAAAUAACCAUACUCACAAACCGGUCAACAAUCAAGAAAAUGGGAGUGUGUGUGAGAAAGAAUCCAACCUUAAUUGUGCGCAUGAUAUUCAGCAACUUCCUAUAAUACCUCUGUAAUCGUAUCACCCAUGAAACUACAUAAACAAAACCAACAAAUGUGGAAAUCUAAAGGCAUCAUAAACAUCACAGAUUAAACACAACUUAUGAUUAAUCUUCAAGAUGUAAAAUUUAAAAUUAUUACUCACAUCAGCAUUCGACCAACAAAUAGGUACAAUUAUCUAGAUACUGAUGAAUUAAAGCUUGCAGCAACAAUUUCAAGACCCAUUGACAUCACGCGAGCGGAUAAAAUGUAUUAGUUAAUUCCCAAGCUAGUAAGAUAAUGAAUUUCAUGAACAAAAAAAGAGAGAUGCAACUCCAAUUUAACAUGUCAAAAGCAUUGCAACUGUAGGUUUGGAAAUUAUAAAAGUCCAUCCAAUCAAUAGACAGAAAACAAUAGUUGUGAGUAGGUGAAUAUGCAACCAAGAAUCUAAAAUAUACUUGACAAAUUUGCGAUUCCAUUGUAGCCUAAAUGAUAACAAAUAAUUUGCCCAUUAUAGACACAGUACAAUUUAUAUACAAACUCAUCAUGAAUGAAACAAAUUUAAACACCAAAACAGAAAUUUAUUCCUCCAGAGUAGAGGGGGAAAUAAUUUUUUACUUGAAAAGUUGGAAGUAGCACUACUGCAUAAAUUACAAAUGCAAAUUGAGGGAGUACCUAUCAAAUAAGGUUGACUACAUUCUGAGCAAUGCUAGAGAAUAUUCUUCAUCGUUUCAAAUGCUACAUGCA